rnacentral:lncRNA from 1 species
UUCGAUCGAUGGAGCGCCAGAUUUGAGAUUCGAUUAGGAGGAAGAAGUAGGGUGAAAGGGAGAUGAGCGGAGAAUGAGGAACGAGGAACGAGGAACGAAGAACGUGGAACGUGGAACGCUGAACUGCGGGCACUUCAGACGCUCUGUGCUGGGCCGGGCACAGUGCGAAAGGCACGGUGGGUACGAGAUGUAGAAGUGGGCUGACACCAAAGAUAGGAAAGAAGCUGAGGAGCCAGAGCCAGAGCCAGCGAUAGGGAACAACACAGAAUACACAAAAAUUAGAAAGAAGUGCGCCUUGGGUAUCGGGGUCAAUAGGAAAUGAAAAGUGAAAUUUCGAUGCUCGAAGCUCGAUGCUGGCUUUUGUGGUGUGUACUUUACAAUAUAUUAAAUGUACGUUUGCUUCGUUGUUUUUUUCGUGAUCUUUUGGCCAAAGGAACUUGCAAUUUAAAUAUCAUUAAAUUCUGGGUUAAGCCUUUGUGCCGGCCACUUGAAAAUUGCCACCGUAUAAUCAGUUUUUGACAGCCGACAGGGGUACGAGUCGAAUCAGCCGCAAGCAAAAUUGGCAACGACUUUUGGCCAUUUCACUGACUUCGAGUGCUCCAACGGUCAGUCAUGGGCAAGCUGGCGACACUCUGUCCAUGGAGUGGGGAAAUGUGUGCUUAAUCAGCGGAGAAUUGUUCGAAGAAUUAUUCAAGCAACAAUCGAAGUGAAAGAAGGAAUUGAAUGGGGGAAUGAGUGGAGGGAGUCGCAGCCAGCUGGGCUGGGCAAUAAAAUUUAAUAUC